rnacentral:rRNA from 1 species
UACGGAGGAUCCAAGCGUUAUCCGGAUUUAUUGGGUUUACAGGGUGCGUAGGCGGAUUAAUAAGUCAGUGGUGAAAGCCUGCAGCUUAACUGUAGAAUUGCCAUUGAUACUGUUAGUCUUGAGUCCAGUGGAGGUGAGCGGAAUAUGUCAUGUAGCGGUGAAAUGCUUAGAUAUGACAUAGAACACCCAUUGCGAAGGCAGCUCGCUACACUAUUAUUGACGCUGAGGCACGAAAGCGUGGGGAUCAAACAGG